CCUGUGGUACAUGAUGACUAAAACUUUUUUCCCCAACUGAUCGACAAUGCUGAUCAGGAACAUUUAAGCCAAAACUUGUCUGAUUUCCAUCAGA
ensembl:snoRNA